rnacentral:rRNA from 1 species
GACGAACGCUGGCGGCGUGCCUAAUACAUGCAAGUAGAACGCUGAAGAGAGGAGCUUGCUCUUCUUGGAUGAGUUGCGAACGGGUGAGUAACGCGUAGGUAACCUGCCUUGUAGCGGGGGAUAACUAUUGGAAACGAUAGCUAAUACCGCAUAACAAUGGAUGACACAUGUCAUUUAUUUGAAAGGGGCAAUUGCUCCACUACAAGAUGGACCUGCGUUGUAUUAGCUAGUAGGUGAGGUAAUGGCUCACCUAGGCGACGAUACAUAGCCGACCUGAGAGGGUGAUCGGCCACACUGGGACUGAGACACGGCCCAGCAUCCUACGGGAGGCAGCAGUAGGGAAUCUUCGGCAAUGGGGGCAACCCUGACCGAGCAACGCCGCGUGAGUGAAGAAGGUUUUCGGAUCGUAAAGCUCUGUUGUAAGUCAAGAACGGGUGUGAGAGUGGAAAGUUCACACUGUGACGGUAGCUUACCAGAAAGGGACGGCUAACUACGUG